UAUAAGCAAUUAUACGGCGAAACUGCGAAUGGCUCAUUAUAUAAGUUAUCGUCUAUUUGAUAGCACCUUUCUACUUGGAUAACCGUGGUAAUUCUAGAGCUAAUACAUGCUAAAAAUCCCGACUUCGGAAGGGAUGUAUUUAUUAGAUUAAAAACCAAUGCCCUCUGGGCUCUCUGGUGAUUCAUGAUAACUUGGCGAAUCGCAUGGCCUUGCGCUGGCGAUGGUUCAUUCAAAUUUCUUCCCUAUCAACUUUCGAUGUUUGGGUAGUGGCCAAACAUGGUUACAACGGGUAACGGAGGGUUAGGGCUCGACCCCGGAGAAGGAGCCUGAGAAACGGCUACUACAUCCAAGGAAGGCAGCAGGCGCGCAAAUUACCCAAUCCCGAUUCGGGGAGGUAGUGACAAUAAAUACUGAUACAGGGCUCUUUUGGGUCUUGUAAUUGGAAUGAGUACAAUUUAAAUCCCUUAACGAGGAACAAUUGGAGGGCAAGUCUGGUGCCAGCAGCCGCGGUAAUUCCAGCUCCAAUAGCGUAUAUUAAAGUUGUUGUGGUUAAAAAGCUCGUAGUUGAACCUUGGGCCUGGCUGGCCGGUCCGCCUCACCGCGUGUACUGGUCCGGCCGGGUCUUUCCCUCUGUGGAACCCCAUGCCCUUCACUGGGUGUGGCGGGGAAACAGGACUUUUACUUUGAAAAAAUUAGAGUGCUCCAGGCAGGCCUAUGCUCGAAUACAUUAGCAUGGAAUAAUGAAAUAGGACGUGCGGUUCUAUUUUGUUGGUUUCUAGGACCGCCGUAAUGAUUAAUAGGGACAGUCGGGGGCAUCAGUAUUCAAUUGUCAGAGGUGAAAUUCUUGGAUUUAUUGAAGACUAACUACUGCGAAAGCAUUUGCCAAGGAUGUUUUCAUUAAUCAGGAACGAAAGUUAGGGGAUCGAAGACGAUCAGAUACCGUCGUAGUCUUAACCAUAAACUAUGCCGACUAGGGAUCGGACGA
rnacentral:rRNA from 1 species